UAGUUAACUUCUUUUCCUGGAAAACAAUAGAAAAAGAGCGUUUAAUGUGCCACUAUAAUAUUUCUCACAGAUCACAAAGCUGGGAUCAAUAUUAGAGAGUGUUUUGUCUGAUGGAUAAAGAUGAAUUAGAUAUUAUGAUUUUUUUUUUUGAAGUUGUAUGCUGCUGCACAACAUAAAAAUCAAUUUUCCUAAUGCUAUUUUAAAAGAGACAUAUCAUCAAAAGGAAUAGGAAAUUCAUUGUAGAGUCGUUAGUUAUAAAAUGAUUUGCCUUCGUCUAAUAUAUAGCAAUGUACUUCCAUCAUUCUUGAGGAAAUCAUGCUCGGCUUUGUUUGAUUUUGACUCUGGAAAACAAACCCACCAACAAGCUGUUGUUCUUGGGUUUGAACCGGACCUAUUUGUAUCAGCAGCUUCGAUUGGUAUGUGUUUAAAAUGUGGGAAGUUAACUGAUGCAAGAAUACUGUUCGAUGAAAUUCCUUAGAGAAAUAUUGUUACUUGGAAUUCUUUAAUCACCGGGUAUGUUCAAAAUGAUGAUGCUCAUGAAGCGUUAAUGGUUUCUAAGGAGUUUUUGAUUGAGAAGAGUUAAGGAAAUGGUGAAGAGGUUGGAACUUCUGUUGAUUCUGUUGCUAUGGUUUCUGUUUUAUCGGCUUGUUCUUGUGUUUCUAAUAAAGCAGUCAGUGAGGGAGUUCAUGGGGUUGCUAUGAAGGUCGGGUUCAAUAAAGUGAUGGGAGUUGAGAAUACUUUGUUGGAUGCGUACAUAAAGUGUGGUGAAAUGAGUUUGCCUGGAAAGGGGUUGGAAUUCUAUGAUUGCUGUGUAUGCCCAAAAUGGGUUAUCGAUGGAUGCUUUUGAAGUUUUUCAUGGGAUAUUAAAGGAUGGUGAUGGUAAAGACAAUGAAGUGACUUUUUCCACUUUGUUGCUAGCAACCAGGAACACCCUCUUCCUCUAAUCAUCCUGCUGAAGAAGUUGAUGCAGAUGGGGAAUCAAGCAGCACCAUUGCAAAUUGCGUUGACCGUGGUAGUUAACACUCAUUCCAUUGAAUUAUUUGAAUGAGGUCGGCUGGUCUCUUAGACAAUGAAAUUUGAGGCAAAAGAAUUAAAAAAGGUGAGAGGAAGAACAUUUUCAAGCAGAAGUUUGACGUUAGAGCAGGAGAAAAGCUGCUAAAGACAUCACGCUUCUUUUUGUCUACUGAAACUGGUGCUGUUGCAGGACUUCUUUUUAUUUCUACUGAAAAGAUUGCUUUCUGCAGUCAGCGAUCAAUUUCCUUCAAUAUUCCUAAUUGGAAGCACAAUGACACAGUCGAUCAGUUGUCUGCAAUUAUGUUGGAACAAUCGGUCCAUGCCACAGCUUAUUGUUGACAUAGAUGUUGAAUUCUCUGGUCUGGUUUGCUGGCAGCUUUCCGAUUUCAGCCAAGUGCAUGUAGAGGAAAAACGGGUUGGUGGGGUUUUCACGUUGAAAAUAGGACACUAGGGGAUUGCCAUGGUUGAUUGAACCGCUGCUUUUUGCAUGAUAGCAGAUGGGAAAGUGUACUUGUUAUCAUCUGGUGAUUUAAUGGCAUAGCUAGUAUUUUUAACUUCGCAACCAAGAGGCAGAAGAGGUGACCAAAUUCAAUCAUAGACAUCGUUAGAGAACCUAGAUGAUAUGUUUCUGUUUACUGAGAAACUUCUGGAUAAUACUGGACAGUUGAGGUAAUGUAUGAAAAAAUGAAAGAAAAUGGCUCACCUGAUCGAAUCUGAAUAGGCUACAUCACAACCAACUCUGCGGCCAACAAGUCAGGUACAUUGCUGUAAGUGUUAUUGUCCAAAAGCCUUAGCUCCAAAACUGAUAUGAAAGGUGUCCCAAAACGUGUUUUCACAAGACAAAUGUCUAUAAUAUCUGGAGAAAGGACAUGGAUGAUUUCUGUUGUGAGGGGAGUGGAUGCAUCAUUCAGUCUCACUGCUUCCCAUCGUGGUUCAUCAUAGUACCACACAAAAACCCUGCACUGAUCAGGAAAUUGUUCUUGCUGUCCCCGUGCGUAAGCUUCAAAGGUAACAAAUUUUGGUUCCAUCAGGGAAGCUUCUGAGAUUGAGAUAUUGCUUGUCUAUACCUGUUGUGUUGAUUUUGGAUGAUACAUUCUUGUUUACAACAGUGUCUUUGUAGUUUGCAUCUGAGAUGUAAUAGAUUCCUGUGAUAUUAGCUUCAUAGCUUGAACCUUAUCCAAAAAUCUCUAAAAACCAUCUAGGUUCUCAUUUACCAUAAAACUAGGUGGUGAUUCAUGUAUUUAAUUUUACCUUCAUCAAUCCAGAAAUAAUCAAGAUUAUUGAGAUUUUUCCUAUGAUAAAAUGUCAACUCCGUUGGGAAGUUAGUAAGGGCUAAACUUUGUUUGCUUGGUUGAAAAUAAUAUGCUUGUUAUAUCAUUUUUUUAUAUGAUUAUCUAUAUUAUGUGAUUUGUUA